GACGAACGCUGGCGGCGUGCUUAACACAUGCAAGUCGAACGGAAAGGCCCUGCUUUUGUGGGGUGCUCGAGUGGCGAACGGGUGAGUAACACGUGAGUAACCUGCCCUUGACUUUGGGAUAACUUCAGGAAACUGGGGCUAAUACCGGAUAGGAGCUCCUGCUGCAUGGUGGGGGUUGGAAAGUUUCUGCGGUUGGGGAUGGACUCGCGGCUUAUCGGCUUGUUGGUGGGGUAGUGGCUUACCAAGGCUUUGACGGGUAGCCGGCCUGAGAGGGUGACCGGCCACAUUGGGACUGAGAUACGGCCCAGACUCCUACGGGAGGCAGCAGUGGGGAAUAUUGCACAAUGGGCGGAAGCCUGAUGCAGCAACGCCGCGUGCGGGAUGACGGCCUUCGGGUUGUAAACCGCUUUCGCCUGUGACGAAGCGUGAGUGACGGUAAUGGGUAAAGAAGCACCGGCUAACUACGUG
rnacentral:rRNA from 1 species